AGUUUCGCCCGAGCUCAGUAGAGUUUUGCUGUUAAGACUGCGCGAGGAGCUAGAGAGAGCAGAGCGCGCGGAGCCGGGCCGCACCCGCCGAUCCGUCCCUUCUCCCAGUGAUCAAUUACCAACUACCUGUUGAUGUGUGUGUGGUUACAGACUUCUUUCUAUGCUUUGUACAACUCUACAGAGCGUAUGUAGGUAUUACUGUUUUUUUGUUUUUGUUUUCUGUUUUUACAAAAAAGGAAAAAAGUACAUCUCCUGGAAGGGAUGCUUUUUAGCUGAGCUCUGGUGGAUGAGAGGAGCUAGCCUUGAAAAAGUGAGUAGGGGCUGAGAGUGGGGAUGCAUUUCAGACGUAAGAAACUGGAGGAGUAGAAGCAAGGCAAUAGAUAGGAGUGCUCGCCAAGUUUUCCAGGAACUGGGCAGAAGCAGUCAGACCACUCUGGUUAAAUGAGGGAAGGGGAAGAAUGGUCCAGAGUGAGGCUGAAGAGGUCAGUAGGUCUGAGUCAGGGGAGCCCAGGAGCGUCAUUUUCUUUUUGUUUUGUUUUGUUUUUUUGUUUUUGAGACGGAGUCUCACUCUGUCGCC
rnacentral:sRNA from 1 species